ensembl:lncRNA
CGCGGGAAUCAGAACAAAGGAAGACGAAGCAGAAGAGAAAUGGCAACGACCAGCAAGAGAAGGAAAUAUGCGUGCAGCACCGAUCACGCCCAGUAUUUUGGGUCAUGUUGCCAAAGAGGGACCCAAGGGUUGUAUUUAUGCCGAGAAAAAGAUGGCUAUGCUGUUAGCUACAAGCAACAUCCCAUUCACGUUUGCGGAUGUUUUCAACACGUCCAUGAAGGAUAUGUUCCCGGAUUCGGAGAUCGCUGGCCAGUACGCAAAUGGCAGAACAAUGGCACUGGAAUACUGAACGGUGCCAUCAUACAUGCCAACCCUCCCGAAUUUUCCGAGAGAAUCCCGAAUUUCGGUGCCCUUCCUGAAAGCCACCAUUCUCCAGAAUUUCUCCUAAUUUCACCCGGACAACAAAAGUGCUAAACCAUCCUUAACUGGGCUUCCGUUGCCGGGCGGACAAUAAUAACGGUGACACCUUGAAGUCAAGGCGGGAAUCAGAACAAAGGAAGACGAAGCAGAAGAGAAAUGGCAACGACCAGCAAGAGAAGGAAAUAUGCGUGCAGCACGGAUCACGACCCAGUAUUUUGGGGUCAUGUUGCUGAAGGUAGACCCAAGGAUGGUGUUUAUGCCGAGACAAAGAUGGCUAUGCUGUUAGCUACAAGCUACAUGUCCCUGAAGGACAUGUUCCCGGAUUGGGAGAUCGCUCGCCAGUAGGCAAAUGGCAGAACAAAGGCUCAAAUAGUGAAAGGUGCCAUUGCCCAGAAUUGGACUGUGCCUAAACCAACCCAUUGGUCUGAUGUGUGAUGAAAGCACAAACAGAAACUCAGAUAAAGAGUUUGUGAUAUUGGCCAGGGUUUUCUCUCCGAAAACUCAGAAGGGGGUGACGAGGUCCAGCUGGCCACAGGAUGUGGCAUUAGGGCUCUAGGCCAGCCUGUUGAUCACAUCCUCAGCAGCAUUUAUGCUCUUUGACGUCAGUGCCAAACAUGCUGAAAUCUUCAAAGAGUUUGUGCAGUUCAGACUCAGAGACUGAAGAUACUCCAAUACUGUGCAACCAGGUGGCCCAGCUUGCUGACUUGUUUUGGCAUAAACCGGGUGCUCAACCAGUGGGAUGCACAGCAGGCCAGUAUGAGGAUGUGGAGAAGCCUGACAAGGUGAAGAUGCUGGCAGAGCAUUUAACCAGCAAGAAGACAAAGUUCUUCUUCCUCUUCCAGGUUCUGAAGCCACUGGCAGAGUUCAAGGUUAUUUCAGGCUGAAGGAGUGAUGGUCCAUAGGCUACACAAGGAGAUGACCAGCCUGGUGAGAAGAUUCAUGGGAAGAUUUUUCCCUGCCAGCCUUAUUGCUGACGUCCCACUGAAGGACAUGAAGUUCAUGGAUGCCAGCCUACAGUUGCCAGACAAAGAACAGUUUCUUGGAGUAGCUGCACAAAGCCUCUGGGGGGACAAUAUGGAUGAACUUUCCUCUUCUGUCCCAAUGAUGAUCCAGGCAGUGAGAGACUUCUUUGUAGCUGUGACCGCAAAGAUGAUGACCGCAUUCCCCCUCGACAACAUCAUCCUCCACAGCCUGACCGUGUUGGAUCCAGAGUCACGGCAUCAAUUUUCUCCAAACUCAGUUAUAGAGCUAGGGAAAAGUCUGCCGCAGCUGCGGUUGGACCUGGAUAGCCUUAUGGAAGAAUUAGUGGAGUACCAUGUGCUUGUUGUAUAGGAUGUUUCUGUUGAACCAUCACUACCAUCUGUUGCACAGAGCGGGUUCCCCAGUGAAUACUUUCACUCCUUCAUGAACUCAGUGGAAAUGAUCACUGUAGAAUUAACCUCGCCUGUGGAUGCUGUUAUGGCCUGCAAGCCAGAUGAGAAGAUGGUGUUGAACAAAGGCAGCUAUGACUCCACCAGCUCCAGGUUCUCUAACCCAAGUUACUCUGAGCUUUGUAGCCUCCUCCUAUUUCCUCACUCACUGCUGGGAAUCUGAAGCCCUGUGCGGCUGACACGCCUUAUGGCCCUGUUGGUACUCGGGGUGAAGGAAAAAGCACAGAACAGGAACAACUGGUACACGUGUUAUUGUUAGCUGUGCUCUUUUUAUUCCAGCUGGUGAGGGAUCCACAGCCUGUAGCAGCCUCACACACCUUUUAUCACCGUUUCCUCCUCAUGUCCUCAAAGGGCCUGUCUGCACACUGUUAUAUCAUGAGUAAUAGUUGAAAAGAAAUCUGUAUACAUAAAAUAUGUGCAUGCACACACACACAACUAAAUAUGUAAUAUUUAGAGUCACUUUUUUAAUUUAGAUAAGGUAGUUUUUUUAGCCUUAGAUACAAACAGUGAAGGGCAGAAAGUGAGACCAUUUUCAAUCACUAAGACAAGAAUUCAAAUGAACACUUAUUUGUUUCUACUUUUGCAAGCUAUAAAAUUAUAGCUCCUCUGAUGAGACUCCUCUCUCCUGUCCCCAGGACAGUAAAACUCUUCAUGAGUGAAGACGACAUUGACUUUAGAGCUGGAAUAUAAAGUAGACCCCAAUAUUUCGCUUCACAUAAACAUCGUCAUUUAUUCCCUCUUACUGUGGCUGUUUUUCUUCCACCACGAUAAAAUCACACUUCAUGCAGAGCUCUCUCUCUGAGGAAGAGUUUCCCAUCUAAAAAUCUGUUUUCUGCAUUAUUCUCUUGCUUAUUACCCACCAGUCUAACGUUGUUUACAGCACUGUCGGACGUUAUUACUGUUCAAUACUGAGCAAACUUCUUAAAAUGAUGCAAAAUUGCAUACUGCUUAGCUGUACUUUGCUCUGCUUCAAUUCAGCAGCAUCAGGUAAUGUUCGCUUGUUGAUUCAUGGUUUUCUCCAGUUUUUGUUCUACUGCAGAAUAUUUUUAAGGUUGUUUGUUUAAAAAAAAAAAAAAAAAAAAAAAAACCCAGGGCAGGAAAAUCUCCUUCAUGUUUUUGUGUUUUAUCCCCAGUUGACACAAAGACAUCUGCUGUGAUGUUUACACCUUUGAUAAAGUCUUGCAAGUGUCAGCUUUCUUUUUUAUAAAUAUAUAUAAAUUUAAAAAAACCUGGAGAAAUACUUAUGGGACUAUACCCCGAGCCAACUGGUCCUGAAAAAAAUACAUUAAAAAAACACACAAGUACUUCCAACAAACAUUGCUGCCCAGGACAAUGAAACUGACGGUGUAAUAACUUCAUGCCUCAUCCCACACAUACCCGGAUCUCCCACCGGAGGACACGGUGGUCGGCCUCCCCAGGUGGCGGCUGGCGGGUCCACUUUUCAUGGUACCACUGGUACCUGCAGACAUGAGAAAAACCAGUGAGCAAACAUGUAACUAUCACAUCAAUGUGAAUCUGAUGGGUGUGAUUUUUCCAGACUGAAGGAAGUGCAAACAGAAUGUUACAGAACUGUUAUACAGCAUGAGGGUCAUCAAUUCAAAUUACUGUCCUUUAUUUGGCAUAAUUACUGUCUAACUGACAGAAGUUACAGGAAGAAGUUAAAUGAAGCUGACGAAAACCUUUUUGUGCUGAAUACAUACUUGAAAGCUCCACAUUCAAGAACAAUCUGAGCACACUGUCAUCAGUUAUCAUCAGUGGGUAACUUUAGUUAUGUAUGAAAUAGAGCUGGGUCUCAUCACUGAUUUCUACAAUCGAUUCGAUUGAAUUUGUGAAAUUUAGCCUCAGUCAGUCAGAAAUAUUAUAAUUCUGAUCAUUUAUCAGUUCUGACACUUGUGAGACUUCAUCAGAUGUGUAAACAUCACAGCCGAUGUGUCAAAGUAACUGAGGAUAAAAGAAACAUGAAGGAGAUUUACCUUAAAAUAUUUUGCAGUAGAACAAAAACCAAAGAAAACCAUGACUCAGCAGGUGAACAUUACCUGAUGCUGCUGAUGUGAAGCAGAGCAAAGUUACAGGUUUUAUUAGAGACACAGCUGAGCAUUUUGCAAUGUGCCAUCAUUUUAAAAAGAUUAAAUUUCUUUGGUGUUGAACAGCACAAAUGAGGCUUUCUUGUCAAGGGUCAUUUUGAAGAAAAAAAAACAACGGCCUGUACACAACAGUAGACUGGUACAUAAUUAGCAAGCGAAUAAUGCAGAAAACAGAGAUUUGAGAUGGGAAACUGUUCUCUGAGUCCACUGAGAGAGAGAGAGAGAGCUGUGCAGGAAGUGUGAGUUUAUUGUGGUGGAAGCAAAACAGCAAAGGUAAGAAGGAAUUAAUGAUGAUAUUUAUCAAAUGUGAAGAGGUCAGAGUGAUGAAACCUAUCAAGAGCCUCUAGAAUCAUAUUUCCACAUUAUUUCCAGUGUGAGUUUCAAACAGAAGUGGCAGUCUUUUUAAUUUUUGAUCCUCUGCAUUUUAUAACUUACCGGGCGACCGGGUCAUUCUUUUUUAGUGGUGGCGGUAUGACCGCCGGCCUAAUGACUGAAAUGAAAAUUCAUGUGAGAGAUUAUCUAAAGUUUGUAGAGAGAAAAAUCUUUAUAUUGGUGUUGUGGUUUAUUGUUGACUUACACGACAUCCCAUUCGUCGGGCCUGGAGUCUGCUUCCCCCACAAAGAAAGAAAAAAUAGACACAACUUCUUCAACAGUUAUUAACAGAAGAAAAUGUGAAGGCUAAUUUCAAUAAACUACUGAAUUCAAAUCUGUUUUAUUAUUAUCAUAUAGCUAUAAUAUAGCACCAAAUCACAACAACAGUCCCCUUGUUUAAAUAAGUAUAUAUAGCUGUACAUUUGCAUAUGGUUUUAUGUGUUACUGGGGUAAUAAAAGCAAACAUGUAACAAAUUGUAAGGAAGAGGUUAUGAUGGAUAGGGCCUAAACUGGAAGAAAAAGUGUUAUUAAAUAUUGAAAAGGGGGCGGGAUUAAAUAUGAUUAUGCUUCUUCCUACUCCUUUUUGAACUUUGAAGUUGUUUAUAAUUAUUAUUUUGUUUUCCUUGUAUUUUGUAUUUUUGUCUCUUUUCUUUGUUGUUGUUUUACUAUUUUAGCAUGUUCAAAGUAAAUAUACAAUACCAGCUGUACACUGUCUAUAAUAAAGACAGUGAACAGUUAAUAGUUAGUAUUCCCAUGUACUCAUAUUAUAUUAUGAUUAUAUUAAUAUAGAACAAGGUUCUGUAAACGUGUAACUAAACUUAUCUGGUAGAAACUGUGAGUACAUUUCAGAGCAUCUGAAACAUCUUCACUUAAAUAAAGAUGUUGAAUCAGUACUUCACAGCACUUUAAAUAUCAAGCAUUUUUAAAUACUUCUUAAGUACAAGUAUCUGUACUUGUUCAUAAGUACAAAGUGUCAGUAUUUUGCCGCCUCUGUUGACAGACAGUGUUAAUCUCUCUGUUUUGUGUCACAUGUCAGAUCAAUGUGGGGAUAUUUCAGUUUUUCUGACACAGAACAUAAAAGUGUUUAUCUGCUCGGCUCCACUGAUCUGAAAAUGGGUUCGUUAAACACUUUUGUUCUUUCAAACAGUUUCAAAAAUGCCUCCAAAGAGAAAUGUACAGAACCUUUUGGUUUCCAUUUCCUCGUCUCUUCUAAAAGACAAAUGACAGACAAGUGAAGUCAAAUGAAAUGGGUUUCAUUCUUUCCUCUGACUUUUCUCUCUUAAAGACAAACAGCUGAUGUGACAGUACUCACAUCAUUAUUGAAUGUUUUCAGUCCAUAAAUGCAAUGAUCAGAUUGUCAGUGUUGCACCUGUUCCCACUUGUAACAGGUGUAACACUUGUACCACAGCUGUUCAUUUUGCUGAUGUUUUGAUUCAAACUUGAUCUUUAUUUAAAGUGAAAACAGAGUUUCUGAUGAAUUGUGCUGUAACAACUGUUGUUGUGCAAGACGCUGCAGAAACCCUGAAAAGCACCACAAUAAACCAACUCUGCCAACCACAAGUGUAAUAUGUGUAGUAUGUAACACACACAGAGCAACCCUCUGAUGUCUUUUCUGAAGCUGCUGUGUGUAUUAACCAGUUUGCAUUUUCAAUAUUCAUGUGGAACUUGUUAAUCUGCAAAUGUGCAUUUGUUUAAUUUGUCUACAAUAAAAAGUUGAACCUG